ensembl:lncRNA
GUCAGCUUCUGCAGAUAUGGUUUGAAAUCCAAACAGUAAGCUCAGGCAACAAGCACGCAGAGGGGAUACAUCAAAACAGAUGUAAUCUUUGUAGCAUGGGCCGUUCGUUGGCAACUGAAAGUUACUGCUGAUGCCCAUUGUGUUUCGGACCUGGGGUCAGAGGUGCUCCUGCUUUUCCCUCUGCCAGAUAAAAGCAUCAGUGGUGUCACAGUGCUCUUCGCAGAAACGCUCCCUCAGAGAAGGAUGGAAAUGUUGAGCUGUGUCUUUGUUCUGGAGCCCCAGUCUUUACCAAAAGCUUUGUGCUUGGCCACAGACAUGAAUAAAGGGAGCAAAGCACAGGCCCAGACCCAACAGGAAUGGCCUGGAAUUAGCGAAUGUAAAGACUCAGCUUUGAGUCAUGUUCUAGUAAAAAAUCAAAUGAUAAAAUAGGCUAGAGAAAGGAAGCAAUUGGGAAUGGCUGAAGAGGAUUCCCAGCUGUGCUUGCAAUCAGUGCAAUUCAUGACUCACAACAUGCUGGCCACAUCACUUCCCAGGAGCAACAUAUUCUCAUGAACAAGCAAAACAAGUCGGAGAGAAUCUUUAAAGGCUUUUUGGAUCGUUCAUGGCUCAGUUGUGAAAUCGCCUAUGAAGCAGCAGGCUGGCUUCAAGGGUCAGGGUGAU